rnacentral:rRNA from 1 species
UCUAUUAUUUUUUUCUAAAGAUAAUUUUUUAAGACUACCCUAUUCUUUCCUCUUAAUCAACUGAAAAGGAAUAAAAAUAAUUUUUCAAGAAAAAUUUUGUACCUUUUGUAUCAGGGGAUUUCUAAUAUUCAAAAUUACAUUGCUAUUUCCCGAAAAAAAUAGAUCUUCUUUCUUUCCCUUAAAAUAUUUCAUUAUUUUUUGAAAUUUUUAGAAGAGGUGAAACACCUUUCGCUAUCUUUUAUAUCUGGUUAUUAAAAAAAGUACUUCUACUAAAAAAAUAAAAGGGAUAAGCCUUUUAUUUAAACUUUCUCUUUUUACUUUUAUUAACCCUAGGAUUAUUAGUGUCCUAAAAGUUUUUCAACCUCAAUCUCCUUUUUCUUAGCUUUCCUUAUUUAAUAUUCAUCCAAUAAAAAUUUAAAAUGAAAUCAUCAGUAAAGUUUUUUCCUCCAAUUUUUCACCUUAAUCUCUCUUUCCUUUUUUUAUUAAUCAUCUUUUUAUGAACUAGGCAACAUUAUUUCUGUCUGUUUACCAAAAACAUUUCUAAUUUCUUUCAUAAUUAGUAAGACCUGCUCAAUGAAAUCUUCAAUAGCCGCAAUUUUCUGUGCUAAGGUAGCAUAAUCAUUUGCCCUUUAAUUAAGGGCUAGAAUGAACGGUUUUUCAAGAAAUAACCUUUAUUAAAAAAUCUUCUUUAAAUUUACUUAAAUGUAAAAAGGCAUUUAUAAAAAGAAGGACGACAAGACCCUAUCGAGCUUUACAUUUUUGUUUCACUGGGGCGGUACAAAACAAAUUCUUUUCUAUCUUCUUCUCUCUAUCCUCUCUUUAUGAAUCCAUCAAGUUACCGUAGGGAUAACAGCAUAAUUUUUUCCUAAAGACCUUAUCUACGAAAAAGAUUGUGACCUCGAUGUUGAAUUAAUUUCACUUUCAAGAGCAAAAUCUUGAAAAGUGGGUCUGUUCGACCCUUAAUUUUUUACAUGAUUUGAGUUCAGACCGGUGCAAACCAGGUCGGUUUCUAUCCUCUCUAUUUUUUUCUCAGUACGAAAGGACAAGAAUAAAAAAUUUUAUUUA